GACGUCGAUAUCCAACGUCAUAAACACCAUCAAAUUUGGUAUUUAUGACGUUGACAUACGAGGUCAUAAACACCAUCAAGUUUUCGUGUUGAUGACGUCGAUAUACGAAGUCAUAAACACCAUCAAGUUUGGUGUUUAUUACGUCUAUAUACGACGUUAUAAACAACAUCAAGUUUGGUGUUAAUGACGUAGAUAUUCGACGUCUUGAACACCAUCAAGUUUGGUGUUUAUGCCGUCGAUAUUCGACGUU
rnacentral:miRNA from 1 species